rnacentral:rRNA from 1 species
UGACUGCGUACCAAUUCAUUCGAUAAAGCGAUCAUCGCGCCGCUGCUUGUCGGUGUGUUUCUACUUUUGUUGAAAUACGCGCUGGAUAACCACAAGUAGUGUGAGUAGCGACUAAUUCCAGCACCUGGCACCGGGUCAUCAUCUUCUUGCGGAGAUGAUGGCAUUUACUCAGGACUCAUCAAGAAGGAUACACCUGUUCCCAUGCCGAACACAGAAUUUACUCAGGACUCAUCA